rnacentral:misc_RNA from 1 species
UCAAACUUGGUCAUUUAGAGGAAGUAAAAGUCGUAACAAGGUCUCCGUUGGUGAACCAGCGGAGGGAUCAUUACAGAGUUUUCUAAACUCCCAAACCCAUGUGAACAUACCUCAUGUUGCCUCGGCGGAUGAGCUACCCGAUACGACCUACCCGGAAGUUGAGGGUGGCCCACCGUCAAGGGACCAUAAACUCUUGUUAUAUUUUGAAUCUCUGAAUCAUAAACUUAAUAAGUUAAAACUUUCAACAACGGAUCUCUUGGUUCUGGCAUCGAUGAAGAACGCAGC